UGUAAAAGCCCCCACCACGCCUCCCACCAUGUUCCAGUGGUGCAAAUUUUGUCCUGCAAAUGGCGGCGUCAUUGUGUCUUCGAUCGUCGUGUCGAUCGGUUGGGUGGUGCAGCACUCCCGCUCCCUUCUACUUGGAGAGUCAACUGUAAAAACAACCACCACGCCUCCCCCCAUGUUCCAGUAGUGCAAAUUUUGUCCUGCAAAUGGCGGCGUCAUUGUGUCUUCGAUCGUCGUGUCGAUCGGUCGCGUGGUGCAGCACUCACGCUCCCUUAGUUCAUGUAGUGGUGCAGUCCCUUCUUUUUGAGGAUUGUAUUGAAGCCAUUCAAAAUAUAAUUAAAUAAUCGAUUCUA